UACGGAGGGUCCAAGCGUUGUCCGGAAUCAUUGGGCGUAAAGCGCGUGUAGGCGGCUCGAUAAGUCUGCUGUGAAAGUUCAGGGCUCAACCCUGAAAUGCCGGUGGAAACUGUCGAGCUAGAGUCCGGAAGAGGCGAGUGGAAUUCCUGGUGUAGCGGUGAAAUGCGCAGAUAUCAGGAGGAACACCAAUGGCGAAGGCAGCUCGCUGGGACGGUACUGACGCUGAGACGCGAAAGCGUGGGGAGCAAACAGG
rnacentral:rRNA from 1 species